AGAGAGAGAGAGAGAGAGAUCUGCAUGAAUGUUUAAGGUUAUUACUCUAUGUAGAGAUAGACCAUCUCUCUAUGAGGCUAAUGCGGGGUUGCAGAGGUAGUAGAUCAGCCAAAUAACAAUAUUGAGGUGUUUUGGGCAAAAAAUUGUUUGCCAUUCCCGAAUGAAUUAUGAAUGCUGUCCAUCCUUUCUUUCGACUUUUAUUAUCAUAUAAUUUGUUCUAGAUUGUUUGAUUGAACAAUCUGACUUAUUUUUAUUAUGACUAAAGUUGGAAAUUAUGUUGGUUGUUUGUGGUUCUAUCUAAUCACACUGGAAUCUGGAUAGAUCACAUAAAUGGCUGGGAGAGUGCUGUUUUGAAUGUACACUUCUCAAUAGUGGCUUUGUAUAUUGCUUGCCUCAAUAGUCAGAGAAUUAUCUGUUUCUGAUUAUGCUUGUGUCAGAUGUGGCUUUGUGUUGAAUAAACAUUCAUACCCGAGUUUGAACAAAGAUUACACUUUCUGGAGCCUGACGCAUCAUGGAAUAAUUUUUAUUUGUCAAAAUAAGACUUAUGAAUGUAGUUGAAAUGACAGCUUUAGUGAAUGACUUGUGAAACUCAAAGAUAAGAUGGCUAGUUUAGAUUUCCUUUUUACCCUUUUGGUCUGGGCUAGUGAAGAGGGCUUUGGUGAAGCCAAGAUUCAAUCUUUGGUCCUGCCCUAAUGCAAACAUGCUUUUCUAGGUAUGAUGAACUUUUUAAAUUAAUUUUCUUUAUUGUUAAAGAUGUAAAAAAUCGACCUGGAAAAUUAGAAUCAUUCACUUUUUGGGUGUUUGGUUAUUAAAAGUUGAUCUCACCAAUGCUUAUGUGGAUUUCAAGAAAAAUGAGAAUAUGAUAUUUUUAUCAUUGUUAAGUUUUAAAAAGAUCAAUUGAGUUAAAAUAUUUUUCUGGGAAAACUAAACAUAUUUAUGCUUAUGUAGUUGAUGCUAUAUUCUACACCACUCUACUUCUAAUAGAAGGCUUUCUUUAUUGCUCAAUUCAAUUCUACAGUUCAAUCAUUAUCUGUAUUUUUCCGUUUACGAGUUUCUGUUCAAUGCAUGACUAUUUUUGAAUGCCUAAGCAUCUAUCUGCUAAUCAUGUGAUUUGUUUGCAUUUCAGCACUCCAAACCUUUCUAUCAGA
rnacentral:misc_RNA from 1 species